rnacentral:snRNA from 8 species
AUACUUACCUGGCAAGAGAGACACCGUGAUCAAGAAGGCGGUUCACCCAGGGCGAGGCUCAGCCAUUGCACUCUGUCUGUGCUGACCCCUGCGAAUUUCCCAAAUGUGGAAAUCUCGAUUGCAUAAUUUCUGGAGUGGGGGACUGCGUUCGCGCUCUCCCCUG